UUCUUUGACAUCAAAGGGAUAACUCAAAGUCAGGAACCUUGACUCUAGAUGUGUUCAGUCGUCAUCUCCUCAUUUUGUACUUAGUCUGUUCAAGGCGUAAAUGUGUUUCAGAUGACGUCCCGAUAUGGUAUGACCCAACCAGAGUAGAGUGUGUGUGUUACACGGUCUUCAUAUUGUUGGUUAGCAGAUAUUGUACAGUUUUAACCAUUUCUAUAGAGUCUUGCUUGAAAACCCCAGAUCCACAUAUUCAUUUUUUCAUUUAUAGGUCAUCUAUAAAACAGUAUUGUCAAUUUCUUAACCCAAAUUAUUUUCACAUACAGUAUAAUGUAUAAUAUCCUAAUUUACUGUUACGGUACUGUGUUAUUACAAACAAAUAUUUAUUCUUCAUAAUUUCAUUCAAGGCAAGCAAGUCCAGUGGAAUUGUACCCUUCCAGUGUCCUACUGCAAAGCAGAAAAAGCCGCCAUCUGCAAAAUCUGAGGCGCCGUCAUGAUCGUUGUGAGGAUCGUUAUGAGAAGAGAUAGCUGAGAGACAGAGGUCUUUCAAUCAGUUUACUAGAAUACAUUUUUCUGUGAGUAUGUAGGUGUUAUGCACAAUGUGAUGGUACUGUAGGGAGUAUGAUACCCUAGGUAUUAAUGCAUGUAUAAAGUUAUUGACAGAAUUAGAUGCUUUUUUUCUCCAUUUUCCUUCAGACCUUGAUGAAUCUUCGGAUGCUGCAGACUAUCUUCCAGACACAUGUGGCAAUUCCUCGGAUGCUUCUAUUAUAAGUACUACAAGUUCUUGUAGUAAGGAAUAUAAAACCACAGAAAAGAAUCUCCACCACAAAUUGUCAGAGAACAAACCAUUAGGGAAUGUUACAGCACACAGUGGGGAUAGUACCACCAGUUCAGAGAAGCCAAGAACAUUAAGUUAUUCAAAGAUGCGCAGCAAUCCUUGUACUUCAGUAAUAAGCUGCAGUGCCAAUUCAUCAGAGAACACAUCACACCAGAAAAGCUCCAUAAAUGUCACAACUUUGUCAAUAACAGCAAAAGGAAGCAAGUACAACAAGAAGCAAUUUUGUCUUUAUUGUAAAAAGGCCAUUUAUAAAUUGGCAAGACACCUCGAAUCCAUCCACAGUGAAAAGCCUGAUGUUGAAAUGGCUUUCAGUUUUUAUAAAGGAUCCCGCAAAAGAAGAGAGUUGUUACGCUCUCUUAAGAAGAGAUGAAACUUUGACCAUAAUACUGAAGUGGCAAGCUGUGGCACUGGAGAGAUGGUUGCCUGUAAAAGACCUAGUAAUGCAAAACCAUCUGAUGACUACCGUGACUGCAAAUUUUGCGAAGGACUGUAUGCAAGAAAUUCCCUAUGGAGACAUGUGAGAAACUGCCCGAAGAAGUCUGUUGAGGGAGAGCCUCAAGUUGGGCGAAAACGGAUUCAACUGCACUUACUAAGACCUGACUCAGUUAAGGAAACUGUUUGGAAGAUUGCUUGUGAAAUGAACCAGGAUGACGUUUCCUCGGUUGUAAGGAGUGAAACUGAAUUCCUUUGUAUCGGCGAGUCACUGUUCAAUUCCAGGAAACCAUAUGAGAGAAGGAAUGCCUACAUACGCCAAAAAAUUAGAGUGAUGGCAAGACUAUUGAUAAUGGCAAGGGCUAUAACACCUUUGAAGAGCACCGAAGUCCUUGUUAUGCCCUGUAACUUUCCCCAUGUGAUACAGGCAGUAAGAUAUGUUGCUGGUUAUGAUGUUGAAAGCAACUCGUAUAAAAUCCCAUCAUUGGCUUUGAAAUUGGGACACAGUUUAGCCAAAGUUGCAGGCAUUAUUCAAUGCAAUGCCAUCACUGCAAAUCGCCCUGCUGUUGCAGAGUCUGCAAAGCAAUUUGCCACUUUACAUCAGAAAAAGUGGACAGAGUCCAUUUCAGCUGCCGCAUUGGGUACACUUCAACAAGCCAAAUGGAAUAAACCACAGGUUUGACCCUUUACAGAGGAUGUGUCGGUGCUGCACACGUUUCUUGCUACUGAGCGUGCUAAGUGAAUGAAGGACCUUGAGGAAGAACCCAACAGCAAAAGCUUUGGAAAUCUUCCUAAAGUGACUUUGAUGCAGGUAGUACUAUUUAACAGAAGGAGGGAAGGGGAAGUUUCAAAAAUGGAGCUUCAGUCUUUCACAUCCAGGGAUCUUACGAAGCUUAAUCCAGACAUUGUGAGGGGCCUUACUGACUUCGAGAGGAAGCUUGCAGAGCACUUUGAGAGAGUUGAGAUUCGAGGUAAAAGGUCAAGAAAGGUUCCAGUGCUUCUAACCCCUGACAUGAUCACUGCUAUGGACCUCCUCAUGAUAAGCAGAAAAGAGUGUCAAGUCCACAAAGAAAAUGUGUACAUGUUUACACGGCCAGGUGUCCUUUCCCAUUACAGAGGCUCCGACUGCUUUCACAAGUAUGCAAACAAUGUGGUGCAAAGAACCCAGAGGCACUCACCUCAACAAGAUUGCGAAAACAAGUCGCCACUUUGUCCACACUACUAAACCUCAAAGAAAAUGAAAUGGAUCAACUUGCCACCUUUCUAGGACAUGACAUCCGUGUCCAUAGAGAAUUCUAUCGGCUUCCAGAGAGUACCCUGCAGCUCGCAAAAGUCAGCAAACUGUUGAUAGCAAUUGAAAAAGGAAGACUGCCUUACCUGCAGGGGAAAGGGCUGGAUGACAUUGAGGUCAAUCCUGAAGUAGAAAUGAGUGAUGAUGAUUCCAGUGAAGAAACCAUUGCUGACCUACAUCAUUGCAAAAGUAUCCUGACUUGUAUAUAUGUGGUAAUAUCUUUAAGUUAUGUCACAUAAAUGCACAUUUCUGUGGGGAUUAUCGAAAUGAUCCUCUAUCUGUUUUUUAACAAUCACAUUGGUGGUGAUAAGUAAUUCCACAUUUAUGGAUUUGCAAUCAGUUUAUGUUUAUAUCUCAAAUAUCAGUUAAUAUCUAAUGUAGAAUUGCAUAUUGCCUGACAUUGAGGUUGUUUACAGUGAAUAAUACAAGCAAGCAAACGUAUUGUCAUGAAGCUCAUAGAACAUAAUCACAUUCAUUAUUACUUUGCAAAGGCUCAACAACAGAGACUUCUAGGGACCAGACACUUCUGAGGCAAACACCAGAGUCAACCACCCUGGACAACAUGGAGGGCACUUCUGAGUCAACCACCCUGGACAACAUGGAGGGCACUUCUGAGUCAACCACCCUGGACAACAUGAAGGGCACUCCUGAGUCAACCACCUUGGAUAACGUACACAUGAGCAACACACAACCAAGACAUGGUAAAAUAGUCACAUCCCAAGCAUCCUCAAAGUGCUCCAAAGGAAAGCAAGCUGUGAAGGUGAGAAGCAAGUGGACAGGUGAUGAAGUGAAAGCUGUUGAGAGGCAUUUGCUUAAUUUCAUAACAAGCUGCAGAAUACCAGGUAAAAAGGACUGUGACUCCUGCCUCCAAGCAGAGCCAGUAGCUCUGAAAGACAGAGACUGGGUUGCUAUCAAAUACUACAUCCACAACAGAAAUGUAGCAUUAAAAAGGAAGAUGAAUAGAUAGAACUAGAGCAUGCCAACUGUAGCUCAGGUACCAUUCAAUUCCAAUUUCAAUCAGCUUCUCCUCAGAUAGUGUUAAUAUCUGUGGGUUUCAUGUUCAUAUUAUUUUAUUUUCCUUAAAUGAUUUAUAUUGUUGGUUCUUGUACAAACAUGCCACAUAGGCUCGACUGUAGAUCCCACAUGUUUGUAUGUUUAUGUAUAAUUGAGGGCUAUUAAUGAGCAUAUGUUUGCUACUUAUGGUCAAAUUUUUUUGGUAUAACAGUUGAUGAUAUAGGUUAAUACUCUGCUCUCAUUGACAGGGAAACGAGAUAAACAGUACUUAAAGGGAUUGUUAUUGUUCCUAAGUUUUCAGAAGCACUUUGUUCUUAACCACAAGUUGUUGAAUGUGGCAAGGUGUUUAAAUUACUGUUAAACUAUUACCAUUUCAAUGGGUGCUUGUAACAGGCCUUGUGUAUGGUAACUUGCACUAUGUAACUAUGAUGUAAAUCCCUAUGUUAUUUAGACAGGUUAGCUGAAUGUACACUGUCAUGUUUCAUAGAAGCUGGAUGCUUUAAUAGAGAGUUUCUCAUUCAUUUCAAACAUGCCAUUUCUACUGCCUUGUGCAUAGCAGGGAAGGAGGCAAAGUGUAGGUGGUCUAUUCUGGGUGUUCAAUUGAUUUGUUAAUUUGCAUAUUUUCGCUGGCACUCAAUAAAAGUAAGGCAUAAAGUGUU